rnacentral:rRNA from 1 species
UCAUAGCGACUAUCGUGGCAUAUCAAUAAGCGGAGGAAAAGAAACUAACAAGGAUUCCCUUAGUAACGGCGAGUGAAGCGGGAAGAGCUCAAAUUUGAAAUCUUCAAGGUUUUACCUUGACGAUAUUGUAGUUUAAAGAAGUGUUUUCUGUUGAAGUUUUGGUAAAAGUUCUUUGGAAUAGGACAUCAUAGAGGGUGAGAAUCCCGUAUUUGACCAUUAUUUUCAGCUGUGUGAUACACUUUCAAAGAGUCGGAUUGUUUGGGAAUGCAGUCCAAAAUGGGUGGUAAAUUUCAUCUAAAGCUAAAUAUUGGCGAGAGACCGAUAGCGAACAAGUACCGUGAGGGAAAGAUGAAAAGAACUUUGAAAAGAGAGUUAAACAGUACGUGAAAUUGUCAAAAGGGAAGCGUUUGACACCAGUGUUGUUUUCUCGAAAAUCAAUUAAAAAAGGCCGGAUUUUGUGUUGUAUUGACCUUAAAAGCUUUCUUCACUCUUUUCUUGUCUUUUUUAAUGCACUUUUCGUUUAACAAGUCAACAUCAGUUUCUUUUGUUGUAAAAGGGUCAUUGGAAGGUGGCUUUCUUUUCGGAGAAAGUGUUUAUAGCCUUUGAUCUCUGCAACCGGAGAGACUGAGGUCUGCAGCGUAGACUCUUCGGGGUUAAAUACAUUUGUGCUAAGUUAUAGCUUUUCAUAGACAACUUGUUGACUAUAUUUAGUCUUGUAGGCUUACUCGCUUACUGCUAUUUUACCUACGCUUAGGAUGUUGAUAUGCAUGACUGAUAU